GUGAGGAAUAUUGCGCAAUGGAGGCAACUCUGACGCAGCCAUGCCGCGUGCAGGAAGAAGGCGCUACGCGUUGUAAACUGCUUUUAACCGGGAAGAAACCCCAGGACGUGUCCUGGGUUGACGGUACCGGAGGAAUAAGCACCGGCUAACUUCGUGCCAGCAGCCGCGGUAAUACGAAGGGUGCAAGCGUUAUCCGGCUUCAUUGGGUUUAAAGGGUGCGUAGGCGGAGCGUUAAGUCAGUGGUGAAAUCCUGCAGCUUAACUGUAGACUUGCCAUUGAUACUGGCGCUCUUGAGUGCGCUUGAAGUGGGCGGAAUGUGCCGUGUAGCGGUGAAAUGCUUAGAUAUGGCACAGAACACCAAUUGCGAAGGCAGCUCACUAAGGCGAUACUGACACUGAGGCACGAAAGCGUGGGGAUCGAACAGGAUUAGAAACCCUGGUAGUCC
rnacentral:rRNA from 1 species